ACGAGUUUGAUCAUGGCUCAGGAUGAACGCUAGCGGCAGGCUUAACACAUGCAAGUCGAGGGGCAGCGCGAUGUAGCAAUACAUUGGCGGCGACCGGCGCACGGGUGCGUAACACGUAUGGAACUUACCCUUUACCGGGAGAUAGCCCGGAGAAAUCCGGAUUAAUAUCCCAUAAUAAACGAAGUGGCAUCACUUUGUUUUGAAAGCUCCGGCGGUAAAGGAUGGCCAUGCGCACGAUUAGCUAGUAGGUGAGGUAACGGCUCACCUAGGCUACGAUCGUUAGGGGGCCUGAGAGGGUUAUCCCCCACACUGGUACUGAGACACGGACCAGACUCCUACGGGAGGCAGCAGUGAGGAAUAUUGCGCAAUGGAGGCAACUCUGACGCAGCCAUGCCGCGUGCAGGAAGAAGGCGCUACGCGUUGUAAACUGCUUUUAACCGGGAAGAAACCCUCCGACGUGUCGGAGGUUGACGGUACCGGAGGAAUAAGCACCGGCUAACUUCGUG
rnacentral:rRNA from 1 species